rnacentral:rRNA from 1 species
UACAGAGGUCUCAAGCGUUGUUCGGAUUCAUUGGGCGUAAAGGGUGCGUAGGCGGCGGGGCAAGUCAGGUGUGAAAUCCCGGAGCUCAACUCCGGAACUGCACUUGAUACUGCCUCGCUAGAGUACUGGAGAGGAGACUGGAAUUUACGGUGUAGCAGUGAAAUGCGUAGAGAUCGUAAGGAAGACCAGUGGCGAAGGCGAGUCUCUGGACAGUUACUGACGCUGAGGCACGAAGGCCAGGGGAGCAAACGGG